UUUAUUAUUUGGAAUUUAAGUAUAGUUGUUGAUUUUUUAACAAUGUUUGCUAAACAGACGUUUAGAAUGAUAAAUUAAAUUUGCUAAAUGUUUGAUAAAAAGUGUUUGCUUUGUAUCUGUAAAACAGUGCAUUUAGUUAUGAAACAAAAUCCAGGGCACUUAGCUAUAAUAAGUGUCAAUUGAAACGUUAUUUCGAAAUAUAGAAAUUACACGAUAAAUGUCAUUAUUUGAUAAUCUGUGGGAGGUUGUUUUCUAAGCGUUUUUAAUUAUUCGUUUUAUGCGUGAAAUAUUUCACACUUGGUAAACAUAAAGAAGUAAAUAAUUGCUAAAGAUUGGAAUUUACAAGUGCUCACUUUGAAAAGUCUUCUUAUUUCACCAGAUUCAAACAAUGAUGAUGAGGUUCAAUUUGCUGCAAAUUGCUUUUUGGAGAGUUACCUAGAUUACUGUAAGCAACAAGUGACUGAAAAGUAUGCAUUGCAAAUGGCAAUAACAAUUGUAUGCAAGUCAGAUCAUUGUCAUGACCUUGUAUAUGAAGUCUUCAUGAAAUAUAUGCAAGACGUAAAAUACCGAGGUGUUUAUUGAUAUACACAAUCACCAAAUAUCACGAUAGGGUGAUUUUGCUGCAACAGGAGUGUUUGGAAUUACAUCAUAAAACAAUUGAAGAAUAUUAGAUAUAUAUAUGCUUGAAAAAAGUCAUGUGCAUUAUGUAAAACAGCAAAACAAAACAAUGUAUGUAGCUAAAGUGUGUGCCUUUUUUAAAUAUCAACAGCUGUAAAAUUAUUCAUUUUAAAUUGAAUAUACGUACUGUACUUCUUUGCAUUUAAUAUAAUACUCGACGCUUCUUGCAUCCAUUCCUUUUUGACUUUCUAUAAAGUGUUUCACAUUUUAAAAUGAAUUAACUGUCAAUUGAUCAUAUUAACUUUUUAGGCAAGCGCAAGUCAUUGUGGAUACGCAUAAAUUGUAUGAAAUGUGUCAAAAUAUGCAAAGUAGUUGCUAGUUAGAAAAAAAGUUUGAAGUUGGGUAAAACACUAAAGCAAAGCCAGUCAUAGUUUGCAUGAAGCAUGCGAAUCAUAAAAGAAAAUACAUUAUUUUGUAAUAACUGUUGAUAGUUUUCUUUAACUCCAAAUACAUUUAAUUGAACUUUUAAAUUGUGAACUUAGUCAUUCAGUAUUCUCUAAAAGUCAACAUUUUGUGCAUAUGUUACUUUAUACAGUAAAUUAAUAAAACGGAUUAUUCGAAUAAAUAAAUAUAUUUUUGGCGAUUUCACCUAAAUUGUCUUUACAAUAUAUUUACUAAUAGGCACAUGUAUUUGCUUCAUUGUUUACUAUAUCUAUAUAUACAUCUAUUGAUAAUGUACUCGUCUUAGUGUAUCAAUAUAAUAGAAAGUAGUUUUUAUUAAAAUGAGUAAAGGUAGGUGUUGAACCUUCGCAUGUCUUAAUUAUUUUUUUUAAAGACUAAGUGAUUUUACAUUGUAAUUACUAAAUGUUUUGGACCAAGUGUAUGGUACAAAGUGAUGCUAUUAUCUAGUACCAAAAUUUGCCAAUUGUUUGUACCAAGUAUUUGUUGUACCAAAAUUUAUUAAAAGAUUAAUAUCAAUUUGUAAAACUGGCUUCGUAUAUUAAACGUACAAAUUCAAAGGUGUUGUGUAGGUUUGAUUCUGUAUUGACAUUCUAAAUUCAGGGUAUAGAAAAUUCAGUAGUAACUAUAAACAAAAUAACAUACGUUAGAAGUGACGUUGACGUUAGAUAGCGCGGUAAGACGUAACAUAUCUUAUACCAUAAAUAUAUAAUUAUGUAGUAAGGUAUCUUGCGAACACAAGUAUUAGAGAAUUAUGAGUACUUUUUUGAAGUAUUAUGAAUGGUACAGUUUUCAUUAUUAAUUCCUCAAUCGAUAUUAUUGCAAAUGGUUACCUAAAAUCCCUUGUAGUGCAAUGUUAUCUUUUUAAUUAACGGAUUUUUCAACAAGGUCACAUUAAUUUUUGAUUCAGCACUGUUGCAUUGUACAAAUUUCAUUCAAUUCUUUAAAUGCAUAGUAUUUAGCUACUUAUUUCAUCAGUUUAUCUACAUGCUGGCAUUUGUGUGGUUUAUGACACUGAACUCAUAUACAUUUCUAUUAUUUUUACGUGUGUUUGUUUCUUUUUAUUAUCCAACUGAUUAAAGUAGAAUUACUUUUUUGUUUAUAUGUGAGUAAUGUAUGACAUAAACAUGCAAAGUUAAGUUGUUUACUUGAUCUUGGAUACAUAUUCGUAUGAUUCUUAGUUGAUUUUAUAUAAAGUUUGACACAAUAUUUCCCAAUUUGUUAACGCUUUAAGUGUGGUUCGAUCAUACUUUCCUGUUUUCAGCAAACAGUCUUAUCUUUUUCUGGCUCUUAUCUUUUUCUGGCCUAUAUAGACAUUUUGCUGUUGUUUCAUUUUCAAACUUGCAGGCUUUCUAUUACUAUUAUUUGAAAUUUGAAUUCAUUUUAAACGUUAAUCAAAACAAGGAAAAAAAUGUUUAUAAACAGAGACAAAAUUUUCUAAUUGUUCACAUAUCUAAAACUGUUUUGCGUUACUUAUGUCUUUGAAGGUUCGAUAAAUAGAGAAAGAUUUUGAUAAUUUGACUCAACAAUAUUUCCAUAAGGAAACAUGUGGGUCAAUGGUUGGUUUAGGGGCCAUGGAUGCCCCCCCCCACC